GGAGGUGUGGCUCAGAGAUAGAGUGCCUGCCUGGUAAACAUGGAGGCCCUGAGUUCAAACCCCAAUACUGCCA
rnacentral:tRNA from 1 species